GCGCUCGUAGCUCAAUUGGAUAGAGCAUCUGUCUACGGAACAGAAGGUUCGGGGUUCGAGUCCCUGCGAGCGCG
rnacentral:tRNA from 1 species